UACGUAGGGUCCGAGCGUUGUCCGGAAUUAUUGGGCGUAAAGAGCUCGUAGGCGGCUUGUUGCGUCGUCCGUGAAAACCCGCAGCUCAACUGCGGGCUUGCGGACGAUACGGGCAGGCUGGAGUUCGGUAGGGGAGACUGGAAUUCCUGGUGUAGCGGUGAAAUGCGCAGAUAUCAGGAGGAACACCGGUGGCGAAGGCGGGUCUCUGGGCCGAUACUGACGCUGAGAAGCGAAAGCAUGGGGAGCGAACAGG
rnacentral:rRNA from 1 species